rnacentral:rRNA from 1 species
UACAGAGGGGGCAAGCGUUAUUCGGAAUUAUUGGGCGUAAAGGGCGCGUAGGCGGCCUUCUAAGUCGAACGUGAAAUCCCCGGGCUCAACCCGGGAACUGCGUCCGAUACUGGAAGGCUUGAAUUCGGGAGAGGGAUGCGGAAUUCCAGGUGUAGCGGUGAAAUGCGUAGAUAUCUGGAGGAACACCGGUGGCGAAGGCGGCAUCCUGGACCGGCAUUGACGCUGAGGCGCGAAAGCCAGGGGAGCAAACGGG